CGUACACUCCUGCGGGAGGCAGCAGUGGGGAAUAUUGGACAAUGGGCGCAAGCCUGAUCCAGCCAUGCCGCGUGAGUGAUGAAGGCCCUCGGGUUGUAAAGCUCUUUCACCGGUGAAGAUAAUGACGGUAACCGGAGAAGAAGCCCCGGCUAACUUCGUGCCAGCAGCCGCGGUAAUACGAAGGGGGCUAGCGUUGUUCGGAUUUACUGGGCGUAAAGCGCACGUAGGCGGACUAUUAAGUCAGGGGUGAAAUCCCGGGGCUCAACCCCGGAACUGCCUUUGAUACUGGUAGUCUUGAGUUCGAGAGAGGUGAGUGGAAUUCCGAGUGUAGAGGUGAAAUUCGUAGAUAUUCGGAGGAACACCAGUGGCGAAGGCGGCUCACUGGCUCGAUACUGACGCUGAGGUGCGAAAGCGUGGGGAGCAAACAGGAUUAGAUACCCUAGUAGUCCCAUGAG
rnacentral:rRNA from 1 species